UAGAACCUAAAAUGGUUCUUCUGCUGUAGGACCUUCUACAUGGAACCAAAGAGGGUUCUCCCUGGAACAGCCAAAGAACCAUUAUGGAACCCUUUUUUCAAAGAGUGUAGCUAACACCCCCCCCCCCCCUCCCUCCCUCCCCUCCUGCUCUCAAAAACACACAGAAUAAACACACCCACCUUCUUUGUCAUCGUGCCGUAUGAUGGCAUCCUGUAUGACAUCACCAAGGCUGAAGCAAAUGCGGUGCCUCUUCCUGUGGCUGGUGGACGGGGGCUUUGACCUUGACUCCGCUCCCGGUUUCUGCAGGGUGUUCUCCCGCUCGUANNNNNNNNNNNNNNNNNNNNNNNNNNNNNNNNNNNNNNNNNNNNNNNNNNNNNNNNNNNNNNNNNNNNNNNNNNNNNNNNNNNNNNNNNNNNNNNNNNNNCUCUUUCACCCCUGUCAACUCUCGCUCCCUCUUUCACCCUUUCAACUCUCACUCCCUCUUUCAUCCCUUUCAACUCUCGCUCCCUCUUUCACCCUUUCAACUCUCGCUCCCUCUUUCACCCUUUCAACUCUCGCUCCCUCUUUCACUCCUUUCAACUCCUGCUCCCUCUUUCACCCCUUUCAACUCUCGCUCCCUCUUUCACCCCUUUCAACUCUCGCUCCCUCUUUCACCCCUUUCAACUCUCGCUCCCUCUUUCACCCCUUUCAACUCUCGCACCCUCUUUCACCCCUUUCAACUCUCGCUCCCUCUUUCACCCUUUCAACUCUCGCUCCCUCUUUCACCCCUUCAACUCUCGCACCCCUCUUUCACCCCUUUCAACUCUCGCUCCCUCUUUCACCCCUUUCAACUCUCGCAGCCUCUUUCACCCUUCAACUCUCGCUCCCUCUUUCACCCCUUUCAACUCUCGCUCCUUCUUUCACCUCUUUCACUCUCGCUCCCUCUUUCACCCCUUUCAACUCUCGCACCCUCUUUCACCCCUUUCAACUCUCGCUCCCUCUUUCACCCCUUUCAACUCUCGCUCACCUCUUUCACCCCUUUCAACUCUCGCUCCUCUUUCACCCAUUUCUCUUCUAUACUUCCCCCUUGUCCUUUAAAUUUCUAUUUCAGGUUUCUCUUCCUCCCUCUCUUCUUCCUCUCUUCCUCCCUCUUUUCUUUCCUCUCUUAUUUCCUCUCUUCUUCCUGUCUAUUGCUCCCUCUCUUCUUUCCUCUCUUCCUCCUGUCUAUUCCUCAUGUCUCAUCCUCAUCUCUCCCUUCCUCUCUUCUUUCCUUUCUUCCUCCCUCUCUUCCUCAGGUCUCUUCCUCCUUCUCUUCCUCCCUGUCUUCCUCAUGUCUCAUCCUCAUGUCUCUUCCUUCCUCUCUUCCUCCCUCUCUUCCUCCCUCUAUUCCUCAUGUCUCAUCCUCAUGUCUCUUCCUUCCUCUCUUCCCUCCCUCUCUUCCUCCCUCUAUUCCUCAUGUCUCAUCCUUCAUGUCUCUUCCUUCCUCUCUUCCUCCCUCUCUUCCUCCCUCUCUUUCUCAUAUCUCAUCGUCAUGUCUCUUCCUUCCUCUCUUCCUCCCUCUCUUCCUCAUGUCUCUUCCUCCCUAUCUUCCUUCCUCACUUCCACCCUCUCCCUCUCUUCCUCCAUCUCUUCCUCCUGUCUCUAAGCCAGGAUCCAAGACACUUUAGAAAAGCUGCAGUGAACUAAGCUGCUCCAGUCACAGAAACCAAUUACCGUCGAAAACCCAGACCUCUGCUCUGUGGGCCCAGCCCUGUGUCAGUACACACCACCAUCCUCACUAUAACCCUUACUACUACUUAGUUUAUACAGCUUCUUAAGCUGACUUUGCUGAGUUAGAGAGAGGGUACACCCUGAUAACCAUGAAACUAGUGACCCGACCCACCACAACCAAGCCUGGCCUGAGGAGGCUAGCACCUACCCCCACAGAGAGACACACAACCCAGCCUUAUCUGGACUGGAGGAGCUAGAUAAUCAUAUCUGGACUGGAGGAGCUAGAUAAUCAUAUCAGGACUGGAGGAGCUAGCUAGUCAUAUCUGGACUGGAGGAGCUAGCUAGUCAUAUCUGGACUGGAGGAGCUAGAUAAUCAUAUCUGGACUGGAGGAGCUAGAUAAUCAUAUCAGGACUGGAGGAGCUAGCUAGUCAUAUCUGGACUGGAGGAGCUAGCUAGUCAUAUCUGGACUGGAUGAGCUAGCUAGUCAUAUCUGGACUGGAGGAGCUAGCUAGUCAUAUCUGGACUGGAGGAGCUAGAUAAUCAUAUCAGGACUGGAGGAGCUAGCUAGUCAUAUCUGGACUGGAGGAGCUAGCUAGUCAUAUCUGGACUGGAUGAGCUAGCUAGUCAUAUCUGGACUGGAGGAGCUAGCUAGUCAUAUCUGGACUGGAGGAGCUAGAUAAUCAUAUUCACAGCUGACAGUAGAGUGUCUAUGGACCAGAGCUGGGUACAUCUGUCCUAGGCUGGCUAACUAUGUCAAAGCACCAUAGACUGAGCGCUACAGACAUGGACACAGGAAACAAUGGAGAAUUAUCAGUGCUGGGCCUCUGUAUAGACUUUUGUAAUACUGGGAAGAGUGAUAUAGACUGCAGAAUAGAGGGAUGGAGUGGGGGGGCUGUAUAGAACAGAAUGGAGAGAGAGAAGAAGAGAAAGAGAAAGUAGUAACUAGACAGAGUGCCAGUGUGGGCCAGUGGGAGUAGAGCUAAGUCAAUGGCUUGUGUGUGUGUGUGUGUCUGUGUAACCAACUUGAUCUCAUAGUUUUACUUGGACGUGAACAUAAUUGAUGACCAGCAAGAGUGGUCAUCAAUCAUUAAGGUAAGGGUUAAUGACUUUCUAUCGUUGGAUUCCAACUUGCCUUAUGCUUAUGUCCAUCUGCACACACACACACACACACACACACACACACACACACACACACACACACACACACACACACACACACACACACACACACACACACACACACACACACACACCGCCACCAGCAGACUC
rnacentral:lncRNA from 1 species